rnacentral:lncRNA from 1 species
UGCUAGAGUUGUAACAACAAUAUGUAAUAUAUGUAUUAUGUCUUUCAGAUCCAGGAUGAGUUUCACAGAAUCACAAUGGUGCAUCUUGAAUCAAAGUUCAUGUCUAAGCUGGAUGAAUACACUCCGAGGCUUCUGAACAUCUUCCACUCCAAAGGUGGAACCAUGGGGUUGAGGUUGCAGGCCAUCCUACUCAAGGCUCCAAGCAACCAUAGCAUCAGCAUGAACAGAGAGGUUGUCAUUCAGUGUUUGAUGGUGUACCUUGGGGAAUCCACAGAUCAACUCUUAAAGGAGUAUGAUGACCUUGCUGUACAAAGGAUUAAAAUCUACCACAUCAAGACUACUACGCCAGAGGGUCCUGAUGACAUCGGUAUCGUAGUAGAAGUGUGGGCCCUGCACAGAGUAAAACCAGCAGAACUGUUUCUCUGCAAAGAUGCCGACAACAAACACUAGAUCGUUUUCUACCAAGCGUUCAAGCUGUAAGAAAUGGUAAGUAUUAUCUUAAACGUUAUAGAUUAUAUUGUAAAACGUAUUAAUUUUUUCCCCAAUUAGGUCUAUUAAAUCCUUUCAGACAAUCCUAUCAGAUCUUCCUAUCAGGCUCCGAAGAUCUGCAAGAUGGCAGUGCUUAUCUAUCAAUCAAUUAUUGUUUGAGAGUUCUAAUAGUGAAGACGAAGCAGAUCCACAUUUGUUUUUCAGAAAAGUGCUUGCACGGUUUGUAAAAGCUAGGGAAGAUCAGUUACACACAUACACUCACCUAAAGGAUUAUUAGGAACACCUGUUCAAUUUAUCAUUAAUACAAUUAUCUAAUCAACCGAUCACAUGGCAAUUGCUUCAAUGCAUUUAGGGGUGUGGUCCUGGUCAAGACAAUCUCCUGAACUCCAAACUGAAUGUCAGAAUGGGGAGGAAAUUUUGAGCGUGGCAUGGUUGUUGGUGCCAGACGGGCCAGUCUGAGUAUUUCACAAUCUGCUCAGUUACUGGGAUUUUCACGCACAACCAUUUCUAGGGUUUACAAAGAAUGGUGUGAAAAGGGGAAAACAUCCAGUAUGCGGCAGUCCUGUGGGCGAAAAUGCCUUGUUGAUGCUAGAGAAUGGGCAGCAAAGCAUUUGUGAAGCCACUACACGCACAACCUUGAGGCGGAUGGGCUACAACAGCAGAAGACCCCUCCGGGUACCACUUAUCUCCACUAAAAAUAGGAAAAAGAGGUUACAAUUUGCACGAGCUCACCACAAUUGGACAGUUGAAGACUGGAAGAAUGUUGCCUGGUCUGAUGAGUCUCAAUUUCUGUUGAGACAUUCAGAUUGUAGAGUCAGAAUUUGGUGUAAACAGAAUGAGAACAUGGAUCCAUCAUGCCUUGUUACCACUGUGCAGGCUGGUGGUGGUAGUGUAGUGGGGGAUGUUUUCUUGGCACACUCUAGGCCCCUUAGUGCCAAUUGGGCAUCGUUUAAAUGCCACGGCCUACCUGAGCAUUGUUUCUGACCAUGUCCAUCCCUUUAUGACCACCAUGUACCCAUCCUCUGAUGGCUACUUCCAGCAGGAUAAUGCACCAUGUCACAAAACUUGAAUAAUUUCAAAUUGGUUUCUUCAACAUGACAAUGAGUUCACUGUACUGAAAUGGCCCCCACAGUCAACAGAUCUCAACCCAAUAGAGCAUCUUUGGGAUGUGGGGGAAUGGGAGCUUCGUGCCCUGGAUGUGCAUCCCACAAAUCUCCAUCAACUGCAAGAUGCUAUCCUAUCAAUAUGGGCCAACCUUUCUAAAGAAUGCUUUCAGCACCUUGUUGAAUCAAUGCCACAUAUAAUUAAGGCAGUUCUGAAGGCGAAAGGGGGUCAAACACAAUAUUAGUAUGGUGUUCCUAAUAAUCCUUUAGGUGAGUGUAUUAAGUAGUGCUAGCUUUUGCUAUAAACCAAAACGAGAUACUAGCUACCUGCUACAGUAAAUGUGGUUUUUAAAACAAAUGGCAUGGACCCAAUUUCGUUCAUGUACCGUUUCUGCAGGUUAUCAUUGUUCUCUUGAAUUGGUAGUAGGCUGUAGCAGAGAAAUCUGCAAAAAAAAAAUCCCUUGUUUUCUUAUAAUGAAUUUCAUUUAAAUAAACGGAGAUUACUACUGUUUAUGUUGGGGCUGCUUUUUUUCCUUGAAUAGGCUACUCAUCUCAGCUUAAAGUAACUGACUGAAAACAGGAAAGGCAGCAAAGUUUGGCAGGCAAGAAUAUGGUCUUAUCCUAGUUUUACUUUAUAGUUGCAAUAGGAGCACAUUAUAAAUAUAAUUUAUAAAAAGGCAAUGAGGGCUGAAUUAUUUGUCCAUCACUAUGUUCGCUUAGCACUGUAGGCAUUCUACUAAACGCAAUCAGAGUUCAUCAAGUUAACUAUUCCUGCAGCUUCUUGUAGACUCAGCACUGCCUGACAAGAAUGUGAAAGGUUUAGCUUUUUGUUUUCCACUACCGAUGUGCUGUAAACCUAUUUGCGUCGAUUUGCCAACCGGAUCCAUAUCUCUCGCGCCCCAAUGUGUUCAGCUACCUCCCGAUUUACAAAUUAAGCACUGCCUAUAUCAGUCUUUAUUUUUCAGUUUCGUCAUGAAAUUAGGUUAAAGUAGUACAAUAAGAUUUUCUGGUGCCGUUUUGAGGAAAUUGAGUUUUAGCUACAUCAGCGAAGGUUCGUUUCGAUUCAUUUGCUAUGGUCUCGCGCAAGAUCAGCCGGCGUUCUUUGGCCGUUUUACAGGCGCGGGUGAAUUUGAAUGCGUUCUAUUGUCCUCGACGGAACCAAAAAUUGUGCCGUUUCAUUCCCUGCAUUAACAUUAAGAAAAACAUGUUCUUCAUAAAAUGUAUUUUGUUACAAAACUACCACGAACAGGAACACAUCAUAAAUCAAAGCUGUAAAGAUAGUUGGACUAAAAAACGAUAUUUUAGCAAGUUGGAGGAGGAAAGGUAACAACGCAUUGAGUAUUUUUAUCAAAGCAAACAAAGACACGAAAAAAAUAAAAUGUUCUACCACUUACCGUUUUAGCGAAAUUUAUGUAUAUUUGUAUUUCACAACAAAGUCACGUCUUAAAAACUAAACCAACGGUCCCAGGAUGUACUCGUGCUUUGUUUUCUUCUUCUUGUUCUUCUUCUUGUUUCUUCUUCUUGUCAUUUGUUGGCGGAUCGCACCCAUACAAAAGGUGCAUAUACUGCCACCUACUGUGCCGGAGGGUGAGG